GAGUUUGAUCCUGGCUCAGAUUGAACGCUGGCGGCAUGCCUUACACAUGCAAGUCGAACGGCAGCAUGAUCUAGCUUGCUAGAUUGAUGGCGAGUGGCGAACGGGUGUGUAAUACAUCGGAACGUGCCCUGUAGUGGGGGAUAACUAGUCGAAAGAUUAGCUAAUACCGCAUACGACCUGAGGGUGAAAGUGGGGGACCGCAAGGCCUCAUGCUAUAGGAGCGGCCGAUGUCUGAUUAGCUAGUUGGUGGGGUAAAGGCCCACCAAGGCGACGAUCAGUAGCUGGUCUGAGAGGACGAUCAGCCACACUGGGACUGAGACACGGCCCAGACUCCUACGGGAGGCAGCAGUGGGGAAUUUUGGACAAUGGGCGAAAGCCUGAUCCAGCAAUGCCGCGUGUGUGAAGAAGGCCUCGG
rnacentral:rRNA from 1 species